AAGCUCGUAGUUGAAUUUCGGGAUUAGUACGUCGGUCGUGCCUUAGGUACGUACUGGUGUUACUGGUUCCUACCUUCUGACGAACCAUCAUGUCAUUAAUUUGGUGUGGUGGGGAAUCAGGACUGUUACUUUGAAAAAAUUAGAGUGUUUAAAGCAGGCUCGCGCUUGAAUACAUUAGCAUGGAAUAAUGAAAUAGGACGUUGAUCCUAUUUUGUUGGUUUCUAGGAUUGACGUAAUGAUUAAUAGGGAUAUUGGG
rnacentral:rRNA from 1 species